rnacentral:piRNA from 2 species
UUAACAUGAUGAUUGAUCUGGCUAAAGU